rnacentral:rRNA from 1 species
UACGUAGGUGGCAAGCGUUGUUCGGAAUUAUUGGGCGUAAAGCGCGUGCAGGCGGUUUCUUAAGUCUGAUGUGAAAUCUCGUGGCUCAACCACGAGCGGCCAUUGGAAACUGGGAAACUUGAGUGCAGAAGAGAAGAGCGGAAUUCCACGUGUAGCGGUGAAAUGCGUAGAGAUGUGGAGGAACACCAGUGGCGAAGGCGGCUCUUUGGUCUGUAACUGACGCUGAGGCGCGAAAGCGUGGGGAGCAAACAGGAUUAGAUA